UCUUAGGUGACUGAGAAGAAGUGCUAGACUUUUAAUCUAGAGACAGCAUGCUAUGGAAAUGCUCCUAAGAA
rnacentral:tRNA from 1 species